ensembl:lncRNA
UGUUUGAAUGGUUUUUCUAAGUUGAACGGUUUUGAAGGAGUUAGAUGCCAAAAAACGUACGGAAUAUGGAAUAAUAGAUAACUAGAAAGUGCAUUUUCUGAAGAAACUGCAGUGUGAAUGCUUGAAUCUGAAUGUAUGCACUGAAAUGAAUUAAUUGCUGAAUUUUGAGUUAAAAAUAUUGAAUGAGAUAAAAAAAAGUCCGAAUUUAACCUGAAAACAAAAGUGCUGAACUGCUAAAAGCUGAAGGUUACACAGAAGAAGGAGUUGGAAAAAAACUGAAAAUGUUUUAAAUGUAAAUUAGAAAACCCUAAGAAAUGAGAAAAGAACAUUUAGAGUCAGAAAACAUCUGAAUGAAUAUUAAAAGGUCAUAUUCUUUGAAUCACUGAAUGACUCAAAUGUGAUCCCUCCACUUUGAUCCACACAAUUUAAAAAGUUUAAAUGCCUGAGCUUUGAAAGAUACGGUGUUGGAAAGAGAACAAUAAUGGCAACAAUUUGAGGGUAAAAUGAUGGCUGUAAUACUGUGGACACAGCAGCAGUUGAAAGAGAAGUGCUUAAGAUGAAUCUUGGUACAGUGGCAGGCAGAGCUCGUUAAGCAGGCAGGUGUGAGCCUGGUUGCUAUAGUGACCGCACCCAAUGGCUCCAUACACACGUACACAGACAUGCGCCUCACUUUUGCUGCUUAAAAUGAACAGAAAAGUCAGGCCGAAACAAAUCGUUCCCAAAUGAAAAGUAAAAGUCGUAUUGACAAAAUUCUUUCACCGUGAGCGACAGCAAUGUCUAGUCUACCUAAUUCUCAGUUUUCAUGCCUGUGGAGCUUAUUAUAUGGACGUGGUGACAGUGGAAAGACACCAUGCUCUUCUGAUUUUCAAACGAACCUUCUGAGCCAUUUUAACAUUAGAGUCUAUGGAAGAGUUGGAGGGAGGAGGCUGUGCAUUGGUGACAUUUAUGAAAGAACCAUAACACCUAGGACAAUAGUAAACACAUUGGAUGAAAGAGGACAGCGAUGGCUACGUUUUGAGGGUAAAAUGGCGGCUGUAGAGCAAACGCUGCGGACACAGCAGCAGUUUUAAAAAAGAUUUUAAGAUUAAUUUUUUUGCUCCUCUCACUCUAGCAGUUGAGCUCUCUCACUCUAGCCCCAACAUUCCGUCCCAUACACACCCAUUAUAAACUCUGAAACGGGU